rnacentral:ncRNA from 1 species
CCGAGGGUUCAGCCCCUCGUAGUCAAGGAGCGGUGCGUCACUGGUAACGGUGGGGUGCUAAGCGCUCUGACAAUGUAGCCACCUUACGGGGUGUGCUUUAUCUCGUGAGGGGUAAGGUAUGAUUUUGGCAGUUGCGGCCAGAUGAGGCG